UCUGUUAGUCAAAAAACAUGAUAGGCACCGGCCAGCUGAAAAAGGAGGAUGGUAGGCAUGGUAGGCACCGGCCAAUUGAUUGUCAAAAAUUGGUUGGUGGCCACCGAUUGUGUCCACAUUUGUGUGUAUUCUCAUUUGCACAUUGAUGGCUUUCCUCUCCUAUAAAUACUUGUGAGUAGCAAGCAAAGAAGAUCACACCACAAGAAGCUAAACACAAGANN
rnacentral:lncRNA from 1 species